rnacentral:rRNA from 1 species
UACGGGGGGAGCAAGCGUUGUUCGGAAUUACUGGGCGUAAAGCGCACGUAGGCGGAUAUUUAAGUCAGGGGUGAAAUCCCAGAGCUCAACUCUGGAACUGCCUUUGAUACUGGGUAUCUUGAGUAUGGAAGAGGUUAGUGGAAUUGCGAGUGUAGAGGUGAAAUUCGUAGAUAUUCGCAGGAACACCAGUGGCGAAGGCGGCUAACUGGUCCAUAACUGACGCUGAGGUGCGAAAGCGUGGGGAGCAAACAGG